rnacentral:rRNA from 1 species
AUUGAACGCUGGCGGCAGGCCUAACACAUGCAAGUCGAGCGGAUGAAGGGAGCUUGCUCCUGGAUUCAGCGGCGGACGGGUGAGUAAUGCCUAGGAAUCUGCCUGGUAGUGGGGGAUAACGUCCGGAAACGGGCGCUAAUACCGCAUACGUCCUGAGGGUGAACGUGGGGGAUCUUCGGACCUCACGCUAUCAGAUGAGCCUAGGUCGGAUUAGCUAGUUGGUGGGGUAAAGGCCUACCAAGGCGACGAUCCGUAACUGGUCUGAGAGGAUGAUCAGUCACACUGGAACUGAGACACGGUCCAGACUCCUACGGGAGGCAGCAGUGGGGAAUAUUGGACAAUGGGCGAAAGCCUGAUCCAGCCAUGCCGCGUGUGUGAAGAAGGUCUUCGGAUUGUAAAGCACUUUAAGUUGGGAGGAAGGGCAGUAAGUUAAUACCUUGCUGUUUUGACGUUACCAACAGAGUAAGCACCGGCUAACUUCGUG